UGCCAGCCGCCGCGGUAAUACGAAGGGUGCUAGCGUUAAUCGGAAUUACUGGGCGUAAAGCGCGCGUAGGCGGAUUGUUAAGUCUCAUGUGAAAGCCCGGGGCUCAACCUCGGAAUAGCAUUUGAAACUGUCGGACUAGAGUACUGUAGAGGGGGGUAGAAUUUCAGGUGUAGCGGUGAAAUGCGUAGAGAUCUGAAGGAAUACCAGUGGCGAAGGCGGCCCCCUGGACAGAUACUGACACUCAGAUGCGAAAGCGUGGGGAGCAAACAGGAUUAGAUA
rnacentral:rRNA from 1 species